rnacentral:rRNA from 1 species
GUAGGUGGCAAGCGUUGUCCGGAUUUAUUGGGUUUAAAGGGUGCGUAGGCGGCCCUGUAAGUCAGUGCUGAAAUAUUCCAGCUUAACUGGGAGGGUGGCAUUGAUACUGUGGGGCUAGAGUACAGAUGAGGUAGGCGGAAUUGACGGUGUAGCGGUGAAAUGCUUAGAUAUCGUCAAGAACACCUAUAGCGAAGGCAGCUUACUAGGCUGUAACUGACGCUGAGGCACGAAAGUGUGGGGAUCAAACAGGAUUAGAUACCCUGGUAGUCCACACUGUAAACGUUGAUUACUCGCUGUGUGCGAUAUACAGUACGCGGCCAAGCGAAAGCGCUAAGUAAUCCACCUGGGGAGUACGCCGGCAACGGUGAA